rnacentral:lncRNA from 1 species
CCUUAUAGGUCUCUACCUUCCCAUCGGCAUCUAUGUUUCUUUUGUAGAUCCAUUUACCCCCAAUGAAAAUAUUUCUUCCUGUGGAUCCACUAAGAACCAUACUUGGUUCAAGUGUAUUGAGUUAAUUUCUAACUUCAUUGCAUCUAAUUAUUUCUUAAAAUUAAUGUCAGACAUUGCCUCAUCAAAAGUACUAGGAUCAUCACC